UUGGGAAUCUUGCACAAUGGGGGAAACCCUGAUGCAGCGACGCCGCGUGGAGGAUGAAGGAUCUAGGUCUGUAAACUCCUUUUUCAGGGAAAGACUUAGGACGGUACCCUGAGAAUAAGCACCGGCUAACUACGUGCCAGCAGCCGCGGUAAGACGUAGGGUGCAAGCGUUGUCCGGAUUUACUGGGCGUAAAGAGCGCGUAGGCGGCUCGUUAAGUGUGAAGUGAAAUCUCCAGGGCUCAACCCGGAAACUGCUUUACAUACUGGCGAGCUGGAGUGAUGAAGAGGUUUGUGGAAUUCCUGGUGUAACGGUGAAAUGUGUUGAUAUCAGGAGGAACACCCAUGGCGAAGGCAGCAAACUGGUCAUCAACUGACGCUGAGGCGCGAAAGCGUGGGUAGCAAACAGG
rnacentral:rRNA from 1 species